rnacentral:miRNA from 11 species
GAUUAGUAUUUGUGUAUAAAUAUGUUUGUGUAUACAUGUGUGUGCAUGUAUGUGUGUGUAUAUGCAUAUCUGGAGUCGACUGACACCGAUAU